CAGGACAGGAAUUUAGAGGCUCCAGUAGGGGAAGAAAUUCUUUAUGAGCUGUUUCUUCAGUUUCUUGUAGGCUAAAACAUUAACCACAGUGACUACAUGCAAAAACAGAAAAAUGGAAGUCUGGCAUUUGUCUGCAUUUUUUAAACACCUUAAAAUGUGAGUCGUAUGCCAUAGUUCUACUGAAUGGAGUUUGUUUAUAUGGAAAGAUCAAUUCAUGCACAAUAUCAAUUGGAAAUUCUCACUCUUCUGAAUCAUCUCACCAAAGUUUUCAGUGCUGUGUUAUGAUAAAUUCCUACAGCUAUAUGAAUGAAGAAGCUGUGGGCAGAUCUUAAGAUAAAUUAAGAUAAUUUAAGAUGUUAAAGAUAAAUUUAAUAAAUUUAUUAUUAAGACAAAUUCUUAAUUCUCACAGCUAUAUGAAUGAAGAAUCUGUGGGCAGAUCCUCCUUUCCCAUGCAGUUCUUUCCAAUUAAUAAUGUUGCUUUACUGCAAUAAUACUGUUUUUCCAGAAGAUGCAGUAGCAAGCAUACGAUCCAAUGCCAUAGCUGUCUUACUGCAUGAGAUGAUUGCCUACUUCCUAAUUCACAUCCCUGUCUCCCUCACUAAAUCGUGUUCCAGAACUACAGGCUGGACCCAGCUUACUAACAACCAAGACACGAACCACCAAGCCAUUCGCAUUUUUAUCAGAUAACUAAAACGAAAGAGACAAAAGCCGACCAAUAAACAUGGUGAUAGAACAGAAAACAAUAGAAGAAAUAAUCAUAGCCAAAAGUUCUGAAAAUAUAGGGAGAAGAAAAGGUAUU
rnacentral:lncRNA from 1 species